rnacentral:rRNA from 1 species
ACUCCUACGGGAGGCAGCAGUGGGGAAUAUUGCACAAUGGGCGCAAGCCUGAUGCAGCCAUGCCGCGUGUAUGAAGAAGGCCUUCGGGUUGUAAAGUACUUUCAGUCGUGAGGAAGGUUGUAGUGUGAAUAGCACUAUGAUUUGACGUUAGCGACAGAAGAAGCACCGGCUAACUCCGUGCCAGCAGCCGCGGUAAUACA